CCGUUAGGAGGGAAACCGAUGCAGCCAUGAAGGCUCCGUUCAGGUUCAGGGUGUCUUGGCUGGAUGCGUUGGACGCGUCGGACCCGCUUCGGGCCGUGCGGCUUCGUGUUCUAGGAGACUCCUGCAAUCCCGUCUGGAGCCCGCCAACGGUGGCCUAUCCUGGGCGAUUAAGGGUCGUAGGGUAGGUGUCUUCCAUGAGCCCUCUUGGGGGUUCGGGAAGAACUUACAGCCUUCGUCUCGGUGUACCAGGAAUGGCGAAGGAGAGUCGCGACGUUUCGCGCGCUGUAGUGCAGGCUCCGUAAGGGCCGGGCCACUUCUGUUCUUGCGUGCUUUGCGGCGAGGCAUUGCACGCAGUGUCCGCUGACAAUAAGUGCGCUUGGUUGGAAGAGGGGCCACGAUCUGCGCUGUGGUCGUUGGUGUGUGUAUGGUUCCAUCCGACCCGUCUUGAAACACGGACCAAGGAGUGCAAGAGGCGUGCAAGUCCUUGGGUUGCUUAGACCCUGGGGCACAAUGAAAGUGAAGGGGGCCACGUGUUCCCCAAGGCGAGAGCCUGCCCAUGUUGCGGUGCCCAUCGUCGACCGAUCCCAGGCUGCUCUGCGGUGGGAUUCGAGUGAGAGCAUGCCUGUUGCGACCCGAAAGAUGGUGAACUAUGCCUGAA
rnacentral:rRNA from 2 species